rnacentral:rRNA from 1 species
CACGUAGGAGGCGAGCGUUGUCCGGAAUCAUUGGGCGUAAAGAGCGCGCAGGCGGCUUGGCAAAUCGGGUGUGAAAUCCCGGGGCUCAACCCCGUGACUGCAUCCGAUACUGUCAGGCUAGAGGUAGGUAGGGGGAGAUCGGAAUUCCUGGUGUAGCGGUGAAAUGCGCAGAGUAUCAGGAGGAACACCGGUGGCGAAGGCGGGAUCUCUGGGCCUUACCUGACGCUCAGGCGCGAAAGCUAGGGGAGCGAACAGG